GACGAACCGAGCGAACGUUGUUCGGAAUCACUGGGCUUAAAGGGCGCGUAGGCGGUUGCUCAAGUCCGUGGUGAAAUCCUCCGGCUCAACCGGAGAACUGCCUCGGAUACUGGGCGCCUCGAGGGUGGUAGGGGUAUGCGGAACUAUCGGUGGAGCGGUGAAAUGCGUUGAUAUCGAUAGGAACUCCGGUGGCGAAGGCGGCAUACUGGACCACCUCUGACGCUGAGGCGCGAAAGCCAGGGGAGCAAACGGG
rnacentral:rRNA from 1 species